UGGGGAAUAUUGCACAAUGGGCGAAAGCCUGAUGCAGCGACGCCGCGUGAGGGAUGACGGCCUUCGGGUUGUAAACCUCUUUCAGUAGGGAAGAAGCGAAAGUGACGGUACCUGCAGAAGAAGCGCCGGCUAACUACGUGCCAGCAGCCGCGGUAAUACGUAGGGCGCAAGCGUUAUCCGGAAUUAUUGGGCGUAAAGAGCUCGUAGGCGGUUUGUCGCGUCUGCUGUGAAAGACCGGGGCUCAACUCCGGUUCUGCAGUGGGUACGGGCAGACUAGAGUGCAGUAGGGGAGACUGGAAUUCCUGGUGUAGCGGUGAAAUGCGCAGAUAUCAGGAGGAACACCGAUGGCGAAGGCAGGUCUCUGGGCUGUAACUGACGCUGAGGAGCGAAAGCAUGGGGAGCGAACA
rnacentral:rRNA from 1 species